CAAAUGUGUGACUUAAAAUAAGAGUUUCAACUCCAGAAUAUACCUCUUAACAUGCGAGUGCACGAGGUGGUGCCAGGUGUAAGGACCUCAGAUUGCACACUAGAGGUAGGACUGGGCAAUAAGUCCAGAAAUGUUAUCACAAUAAAAACAUUUCAGAUCAUUCGAUAUCGAUAAUUAUCACCAUAUAUGUCAAAUCAUUAUUUAUUUCCCAUUUAAAGGCAGAUUUUUGCUAAAGUAAAUAUUGAAGAAAUCAGAUGGUUACUUAUGUGGUUAAACUUAUCUUUAUGGUCAGAAUGUGACAACACUUGAUGCCAAACAGUGGAUAACUUCACAAGUCUGAGGUAGAACAUUCAUAACUAUUACGAUAAAAUCUUUUCCAACAAAUAUGAUUAGUUAAUCUUUCUUUAGGCCUCUUCUUGUAAACAAAAUAAAGAUUUUAAUAGAACAAUUAAGUGCUAAUUUGAUAAUUAAAUGAAUUAAACCAAAUAUUUAUUGACAUAUAUUGAACAUUUAUUAUAUUGUUAUUGAGGAAAAACAUAUUGCGAUCAUCAUUAUUGUUUUAUUGCCCAGCCCUGACUGGAGGCUGACCAUUAAAUCGGCAUGUUCACUAAAUCUUCUGAUAUUGUCAUAAAUCUGUUUAAUUUGUGCCAUGAUGUGCUUUUGUUUGUUUCUGUAUGAGUCUUGCUGUCAUCAGUCUUGGAAAAGGCACUGUGCCUUUAGUACCACUAAAAUCUAAGUUUGUGGUAUUUAUAAAAAAUUAUGACUGUAGACUUACUUUAGAAUAACAAUUACCAUGCAUUGCGUGCUAUUUACUGACACUUCUACUUGCUCCUGUUGAUAUUUUAUAAUAAGUACUAAAUAUAUAAUAAGUAUAAUAAGUAAUAUAAUAUUUUUUAUUAUAAUAUUUUUAUUUUUUAUGAUAAUUAAAAUUUAAGUUUAAAUAUUAAAAAAGCUUUAACUGCAAAUAUCAAAUAUGCUUUUUUGGGAGUAACCGUAACUUCUUAUAACAGUUGUGUGUUAACUGCAAAGACAACUGCAGAUAAAUCUUCAGUUCAAUCUGUAAUUGUCAUAAUGAGGACGUGGGCAUUGUUUUUAUAGGCGUUCAGCUGACAUUGUCAAAUGCGACGACUACAGGAGCUGUGCCGUGUUUUGACUUCUCUUUAUGAACGUUACUUAAAGGUGAUCUGCUCCUCCUGGUAGGUGGAGGUGGAGAUGGCGCCGUACGGAUCCACUACCGUCUGGGCACAGCGCACCACCGUCACCAGCAGGAAGAAACACAGGAGGAAGAGGAAGAAGAGAGCAAACCCCAGGUCCACAUCCACCUCAAACUGCCUCGCAGGGUGAGAAGCCUGGUCCAUGUGGGCGAUGACGACUUCUGAUCCGUCUGAUUCCUCUCCUUGUCAGCACCACUUUAGGAAUGGGACAGCUGUGUGUACAUGUGCUGUUGAGAUAAUGGUGAUGACUUGAUGCCAGAAAUACUAAAUAAAUCAGAAAGGCAGACAAAGAGUAAAGAGGUUACAUCACAACA